GCGUUAAUCGGAAUUACUGGGCGUAAAGCGUGCGCAGGCGGUUUGAGAAGUCCGAUGUGAAAGCCCCGGGCUUAACCUGGGAAUGGCGUUGGAAACUCUCAAGCUGGAGUGUGGCAGAGGGGGGUGGAAUUCCACGUGUAGCAGUGAAAUGCGUAGAGAUGUGGAGGAACACCGAUGGCGAAGGCAGCCCCCUGGGCUAACACUGACGCUCAGGCACGAAAGCGUG
rnacentral:rRNA from 1 species